GAUGGGCCUGGAAGUUUGAACCUAUAGUCCCAGAUACUUGAGAGCCUGAGGCAGGAAUAUGGCUUGAGUUUGGGUUAUAGUCCUUAUGCCAACUGGUGUCAGUACUAAGUUCAGCAUCAAUAUGGUGACCACUCCAAAGCAGAGAACGACCAGAUUGCCUAAGGACAGAUGAACUGGCCUAGGCCAGAAAUGGAGCAGGUCAAAACUCCCAUGCUAAUAAGUAGUGGGAUUUCUCCUGUGAGCAGUCACUGCACUCCAACCUGGGCAACAUUACAAGACCCCAUCUUUC
rfam:Otolemur garnettii contig107855, whole genome shotgun sequence.